rnacentral:tRNA from 1 species
AAGAUUUUAAGUUAAAUUAAACUUUUAAUUUUCAAAAUUAAUAAUAUAGAUAUUUUCUUUAAGUCUUA